rnacentral:rRNA from 1 species
UACGUAGGUGGCAAGCGUUGUCCGGAUUUACUGGGCGUAAAGAGCGCGCAGGCGGUCGUUCAAGUCGCGUGUGAAAGCCCCCGGCUCAACUGGGGAGGGUCACGCGAUACUGAUCGACUCGAAGGCAGGAGAGGGUAGUGGAAUUCCCGGUGUAGUGGUGAAAUGCGUAGAUAUCGGGAAGAACACCAGUGGCGAAAGCGCUCUACUGGGCCAUAACUGACACUGAGGGACGAAAGCUAGGGGAGCGAAUGGG